UCUCUGGCUCUGGAUGGCAACAUGCUGUUCUUCACAAAAUGUAAAAGCAGUUCCUGCAGGUCAAAGAUCUCCUUUUACCGCGCGCUCUUGUGACGGCGGGCUUUCUGCAGAAGUCAGCAUGCCGGCAGAGGCCAGCAGCAUGCAUAGGAAGCUCCCUGCAGCGCCACAGAAACGGCCAGACCCGGUGAUCUAAUCACGGAUGAUCGGGAUGCUCCUACCCAACAUUGUCCCUGCAUGUUAUAAUCUCUGGACCUGUUGUCAUUCGCCGUGGAUCAGAAGACUUUUAUCAAACAUCUCUACUCUCCAGUCUUCCAUAUCCCCUUUUUAUUCUUCCUUUCUCCUCUUCUGUCCACCCUCCCUUACUGGGUGACCCCCUUGCCUCCUGGCUCUCUCACCCCUCUCCUCUGGCCCUGGCCCUAGCUGGCCCUGCCCACCCUGGGUCAUUUAUCAUGGACCAGGAGGGGAGCCCCUGGGCCUGCAGGCCCCUGUCAGCCCCUGCAAUCGCCUCUUUGUGGCUCCUAGCAAACAAGUGUCGGAUCAGCAAAAGUCUAUUAAAGCCUGGUGGGCCUUUCUCAGCCAAUUGGGUUCGGGUCACUGAGCUGCUCUCCGUGCUGCUCCGAGAGCUCUUUGUGUCGCCGCCGUUCGCUGACACAGAUCCCCACAAGAUUAAUGAUUUUUAGCAGCCAUUUGGGUCUCAUUCGCAGGGUCUCUCUCUCUCUCUCUCUCUGUCUCUCUCCCUCUCUCCCUCUGCCUUUUUUCCUCUUUUUUCCACUGAUUCUGUCCUCUUUUUUUCUUUAACCCAUUUCUUCUGCUACGCUACCUCUUGAUUUCUUGCUUUUCGCUCUCUGGUUCAUUCCUCCCCUCCUCCCUUUCACUGUUACCUCAAUCAGUGUCGACCGUUUGUGUCUUCACUGUGUAAGGUCAUCAUCCAUACAAAUGGGUUUUUUUUUAGAGUGAUUGCCACUAAUCAUAGCCUCAUGUUUGUAUAACAGUUGUUUCUGCAAUUCCAACUGUACACAUUGCUUUUGUUAAAUAAGUUAUUUGACGUUUAUGUUUCAGAGUGAUCUGCACCUGUAUGAUAAAUCCAGAGGAUGUUAAGAAACCAGUCUGAGCAUCCACAUUACAGUCCUGGCAGGCUUCCCCGCAGUGUGCCUCCAGAGGCUCAGAGUAAUUUGAAAUCUUUGAGCCACUUCCACGACUUCCAUGUUGCCAUGUUCUCAGUGUUGUUUCCAGUAAUUACUGCAGGUUAAGUGCACGUCCUGGAGCCCAGUGGAGGCAGCUCUAUCCCUCACCUGGGACAUGACUCAGCACAGUUCAGGUCAUCCGGCCAUUUCCCUGACCGCUGGACCACACCCCGACCUACUCUAAACCCACAGGACAAGCGCUAUUUAUGCAGGACUCGUGUUCGCUUACAUCAUGUAAUGUAAUGGUUGUUUUAUUUACUGGCUGGAAUUUUUCCAGAAGCUCUGACAUAUCUAACCAUUCAAAGUCUAUAAACACAUUUAACUUCUUCUUUUUUCUAAAAUUUAUUAUAUAUAAAAAAGCAUGAAUGUAUGCUUUUCUUAAACUUUAAGAGUAGUCAUGCGGUCAAAGUUAAAUAAUGUGUACAGAGACUGUUUUUCCUUGAAUUUUAUUUAGACAAUGAUUGUGCAAUUUAAGAAGAUUCAUAUUUAGAUACUCAUCCUCCUUCACUUCUCACAUCAAGCAGCCUGUCAUGGCAUGCGAACACUAAAAGACAGGUUCACAUUUCUUCAAGUCUGUGUCAUUGCAACAUCAUAACAAUACUCUCAUCCUUACAUGUCGAGUGAUGAGUUGUUGGUUGCAGUAAUCGGUUCUCUUGUCCACACUGGACAAAAUCCACAGAGUGCAAAAAAGCAUUUGUUCAGGUUAAUCUGAGGAUGCAGUGGUCUGAGAUCAUCACAACUCUGCCUUUGUUUUAUUGUCUCUGUUGUAGAUCAGCAAGUAAACACUGUCUGUAGCAACAAGAAGGCAUUGUGUAACUUUGGAAAUUACCUUCUUGAUAUGACUAAUUAACACCUCAUUUUAGCUGCAGAUGAGCUCAGCUCAGCUGAGGAAUGUAUUUUUAUACAAAAAAAGGGGUUUUCUCGCCUUCCAGUGGAGGCAUGUUAGGAAGUGGUCAUUUCACAAGCUUCAACAGGCAUUUCAUUGUAUACAUGGCCAUAUAGCUAAUGUUUUGAGAUGAGAAAAUGUGGACAAGAGAUAUUUGCAGAUUCCAGUUAAGCUCUUGUCUGGACCUUAACCUUGUUACAUGCAUCAGUGA